rnacentral:piRNA from 1 species
UGGACCAAGAGUGACAGGAAGGAGCCU